rnacentral:rRNA from 1 species
UACAUAGAGGGCAAGCGUUAUCCGGAAUGAUUGGGCGUAAAGCGUCUGUAGGUGGUUCGAAAAGUCUACUGUCAAAUACAUUGGCUUAACCAAUGGCAGGCAGUAGAGUACUAUCGAACUAGAGUUGGUAGAGGUAGAGGGAAUCCCUAGCGUAACAGUGAAAUGUGUAGAUUUUAGGGAGAACACCAGCGGCGAAGGCGCUCUACUGGGCCAAUACUGACACUCGAGAAGACGAAAGCUAAGGGAGCGAAUAGG